ACAACAAUCGGACCGUCGGCCUACUAAGCAAUUACAACCGUUCAGUAGAAGAUCUUCCCUUCAUCGU
rnacentral:pre_miRNA from 1 species